CCUACGGGUGGCAGCAGUGGGGAAUAUUGCACAAUGGGCGCAAGCCUGAUGCAGCCAUGCCGCGUGUGUGAAGAAGGCCUUCGGGUUGUAAAGCACUUUCAGCGGGGAGGAAGGCGGUGAGGUUAAUAACCUCAUCGAUUGACGUUACCCGCAGAAGAAGCACCGGCUAACUCCGUGCCAGCAGCCGCGGUAAUACGGAGGGUGCAAGCGUUAAUCGGAAUUACUGGGCGUAAAGCGCACGCAGGCGGUCUGUCAAGUCGGAUGUGAAAUCCCCGGGCUCAACCUGGGAACUGCAUUCGAAACUGGCAGGCUAGAGGCUUGUAGAGGGGGGUAGAAUUCCAGGGGUAGCGGUGAAAUGCGUAGAGAUCUGGAGGAAUACCGGUGGCGAAGGCGGCCCCCUGGACAAAGACUGACGCGCAGGUGCGAAAGCGUGGGGAGCAAACAGGAUUAGUACCCUGGUAGUC
rnacentral:rRNA from 1 species